UCCUACGGGGGCAGCAGUAGGGAAUAUUGCACAAUGGGCGAAAGCCUGAUGCAGCAACGCCGCGUGCGCGAAGAAGGCCUUCGGGUUGUAAAGCGCUUUUCGGGGAGAUGAGGAAGGACAGUAUCCCCGGAAUAAGGCUCGGCUAACUACGUGCCAGCAGCCGCGGUAACACGUAGGAGCCAAGCGUUAUCCGAAUUCACUGGGCGUAAAGCGCGUGUAGGCGGCUCGGUAAGUUGGAUGUGAAAUCUCCUGGCUCAACUGGGAGAGGACGUUCAAUACUGUCGGGCUAGAGGACGGCAGAGGGAGGUGGAAUUCCCGGUGUAGUGGUGAAAUGCGUAGAUAUCGGGAGGAACACCAGUGGCGAAGGCGGCCUUCUGGGCCGAACCUGACGCUCAGACGCGAAAGCUAGGGGAGCAAACGGGAUUAGAUACCCUGGUAGUC
rnacentral:rRNA from 1 species